CCGUAGGUGAACCUGCGGAAGGAUCAUUAAUAAAUGGUCUGCGUUUUUUAAGUAGACGCUUAAUAAUCCUACCCUUUGUGAAUUUGUUUGUUUUGAAAUAAUUUUUUUUAAAAUUAUUGAUGUCUUUCCCUGUUGAAUUGGUUGUCUAAUGGCAAGUGAUUCGCAGGGGAGUGUCAUAAUUUUUAAAAAGACCUUUUUUUAAAUUAAACUUUUGUAUUCAUUUGUCUAAAAUUAUUUUUAUAAUAUAAAACCAACUUUUGACAAUGGAUCUCUUGGUUCUCGCAACGAUGAAGAACGCAGCAAAAUGCGAUAAGUAGUGUGAAUUGCAGAAUACGUGAAUCAUCGAAUCUUCGAACGCAUAUUGCACUUUUUUAGUUUACUAAAAAAGUAUGUCUGUUUGAGUAUCAGUAAAAUAUUCUCAUAAAAAACAUUGUUUUUUUAUGGUUAUGAGUGUUUUACAACGAUACAAGUUGUUUCACUUUAAAUUUUUUAAAAUUUGAAUUUUUCUAAUUUUAAAAUAAAAUGGAUAAAAUUUUCCCGUAAAAAAGGAAUAACCUAAACAAUUUUAGUUUUUUGAUUAGAAUUUUUCAUUAUAAAGGAAAAUUUAAUAAAUAACUUGAUCUCAAAUCAGAUAAGAGUACCCGCUGAACUUAAGCAUAUCAAUAAGCGGAGGAAAAGAAACUAACAAGGAUUCCCUUAGUAACGGCGAGUGAAGCGGGAAGAGCUCAAAUUUGAAAUCUUCAAGGUUUUACCUUGACGAAUUGUAGUUUAAAGAAGUGUUUUCUGUUGAAGUUUUGGUAAAAGUUCUUUGGAAUAGGACAUCAUAGAGGGUGAGAAUCCCGUAUUUGACCAUUAUUUUCAGCUGUGUGAUACACUUUCAAAGAGUCGGAUUGUUUGGGAAUGCAGUCCAAAAUGGGUGGUAAAUUUCAUCUAAAGCUAAAUAUUGGCGAGAGACCGAUAGCGAACAAGUACCGUGAGGGAAAGAUGAAAAGAACUUUGAAAAGAGAGUUAAACAGUACGUGAAAUUGUCAAAAGGGAAGCGUUUGACACCAGUGUUGUUUUCUCGAAAAUCAAUUAAAAAAAGUUGGAUUUUGUGUUGUAUUGACCUUAACAGCUUGCUUCACUCUUUACCUGCUCUUUUUAAUGCACUUUUCGUUUAACAAGUCAACAUCAGUUUCUUUUGUUGUAAAAGGGUCAUUGGAAGGUGGCUUUCUCUUCGGAGAAAGUGUUUAUAGCCUUUGAUCUCUGCAAUCGGAGAGACUGAGGUCUGCAGCGUAGAUCCUUCGGGGUUAGAUACAUUUGUGCUAAGCUACAGCUUUUCAUAGACAACUUGUUGACUAUGUUUAGUCUUGUGACUUACCCGCUUAUGCUAUUUUACCUACGCUUAGGAUGUUGA
rnacentral:misc_RNA from 1 species